GAUGAACGCUAGCGGCAGGCCUAACACAUGCAAGUCGAGGGGCAGCACAGAAACAGCAAUGUUUUGGUAGCGACCGGCGGACGGGUGCGUAACGCGUACGCAACCUACCUUUAACAGGGGGAUAACGGAGAGAAAUUUCCACUAAUACCCCAUAACAUCGAUCAAGGCAUCUUGAUUGGUUGAAAACUCCGGUGGUUAAAGAUGGGCAUGCGUUGUAUUAGGUAGUUGGUGAGGUAAUGGCUCACCAAGCCUACGAUACAUAGGGGGACUGAGAGGUUAGCCCCCCACACUGGUACCGAGACACGGACCAGACUCCUACGGGAGGCAGCAGUGAGGAAUAUUGGUCAAUGGGGGCAACCCUGAACCAGCCAUGCCGCGUGCAGGAAGACGGCUCUAUGAGUUGUAAACUGCUUUUAAACAGGGAUAAAGCACAGUAUGUAUACUGUGUUGAAGGUACUGUAAGAAUAAGGAUCGGCUAACUCCGUGCCAGCCGCCGCCGUAA
rnacentral:rRNA from 1 species